GCCGGCGACCAUACCACGUUGAAAGCACCGGUUCUCGUCCGAUCACCGCAGUUAAGCAAUGUUGGGCCCGGUCAGUACUUGCAUGGGGGAACAAUUAUACAAUAGGAAAUAUGCAUACC
rnacentral:rRNA from 1 species